UGGGAGGAGCCAAGGCCCUGCCCCCUUCCAUAGGGCGAGUCAUUUCCGUCCGCCGAGGAACAGAGAAAGCAGCCGGCGGAGUUGCGGGCAGAGAGCCUCGGGCAGGAAUUCCCUGGUCGCAAGUGGCAAGUGAGCCCCGGUCGGGCACGGCUGGUGCCCGGGAUGGCCGAGGUGGAGGCCCAGGGCAGCCUGUGGCUGGAGAGUCCCCCUGGGGGCGCGCCCCCCAUCUUCCUGCCCUCGGACGGGCAAGUCCUUGUCCUGGGCCGGGGACCCUUGACCCAGGUUACGGACCGGAAGUGUUCCAGAAACCAAGUGGAGCUGGUCGCAGACCCCGGGACCAAGACCGUGGCAGUGAAACAGGUA